rnacentral:tRNA from 1 species
GGAUUGUGGCUCAGCGGUAGAGCGCUUGCCUAGCACAUGCGAGGCCCUGGGUUCAAUCCUCAGCACCA